rnacentral:rRNA from 1 species
GGUGUGGGUAGGGGAGAAAUUCCAAUCGAACCCGGAGAUAGCUGGUUCUCCUCGAAAUAGCUUUAGGGCUAGCCUCGUGUUAACCUUGUGGAGGUAGAGCACUGAAUAUCCUAGGGGGCGUCAAAGUCUACCGAAGAUUAUCAAACUCCGAAUGCCAUAGAGGUGAUGCACGGGAGUCAGACUGCACGAGAUAAGUUGGGUGGUCAAAAGGGAAAGAGCCCAGACCUACAGCUAAGGUCCCAAAGUGCGUGUUAAGUGGAAAAGGAUGUGGGAUUUCGAAGACAACUAGGAUGUUGGCUCAGAAGCAGCCAUACAUUCAAAGAGUGCGUAAUAGCUCACUAGUCGAGAGGUCCUGCGCCGAAAAUGUCCGGGGCUGAAACACGACACCGAAGCUUAGGACUCCUUUUAGGAGUGGUAGAGGAGCAUUGUUAGCGCAGCGAAGCUGUACCGAUAAGGAGCAGUGGAGUGCUAAGAAGAGAGAAUGCCGGAAUGAGUAGCGAGAGGAAGGUGAGAAUCCUUCCGGCCGAAUAUCCAAGGUUUCCAGAGUAAAGCUGAUCUGCUCUGGGUAAGUCGGGGCCUAAGGCGAGGUCGAAAGACGUAGUCGAUGGAUAACAGGUGGAGAUUCCUGUACUAUGUGUACCCAGAACUGUGGGGACGCAUGUGGAGAGCAUGAGCCGGGAAAGAGAAAACCGGUACAAGCGGGGUAGGAGUAAGGACAGCAAAUCUUCCUUACAAUCCGAAGACGUGAUGUGGACCGAACCAAAGUAGGGAAGCAUGUGAGCCAUGUGCCAAGAAAAGCCGCUAUUGUGAUACACAUACCCGUACCGUAAACCGACACAGGUGGAUGAGGAGAGAAUCCUAAGGCCGACGGAAGAAGCAUUGUUAAGGAACUCGGCAAAAUGACCCCGUAACUUCGGGAGAAGGGGUGCCCUGUGAAAGCAGGGCCGCAGAGAAUAGGCUCAAGCAACUGUUUAGCAAAAACACAGGUCUAUGCGAAACCGAAAGGUGAGGUAUAUGGGCUGACGCCUGCCCGGUGCUGGAAGGUUAAGAGGAGAAGUCAGGCAACGAAGCUUCGAAUUUAAGCCCCAGUAAACGGCGGCCGUAACUAUAACGGUCCUAAGGUAGCGAAAUUCCUUGUCGGGUAAGUUCCGACCCGCACGAAAGGCGUAAUGAUUUGAGCACUGUCUCGACAAUGCAUCCGGUGAAAUUGAAGUACCAGUGAAGAUGCUGGUUACCUGCGCCAGGACGGAAAGACCCCAUGGAGCUUUACUCCAGCUUGAUACUGGGAUUCGAUACUGUAUGUACAGGAUAGGUGGGAGACGUUGAACAUAGAACGCCAGUUUUAUGUGAGUCGCUGUUGGGAUACCACCCUUGCAGUAUUGGAUUUCUAACCUGCACCCAUGACCUGGGUGGGGGACAAUGUCUGGCGGGGAGUUUGACUGGGGCGGUCGCCUCCGAAAGGGUAUCGGAGGCGCUCAAAGGUUCCCUCAGAAUGGUUGGAAACCAUUCGAAGAGUGCAAAGGC